GACGAACGCUGGCGGCGUGCCUAAUACAUGCAAGUCGAGCGGACUGAUUAAGAGCUUGCUCUUAUGACGUUAGCGGCGGACGGGUGAGUAACACGUGGGCAACCUGCCCUGUAGAUCGGGAUAACACCGAGAAAUCGGUGCUAAUACCGGGUAAUAUCUGAGAUCACAUGAUCUUAGGUUAAAAGAUGGCUCCGGCUAUCACUACAGGAUGGGCCCGCGGCGCAUUAGCUAGUUGGUAAGGUAAUGGCUUACCAAGGCGACGAUGCGUAGCCGACCUGAGAGGGUGAUCGGCCACACUGGGACUGAGACACGGCCCAGGCUCCUACGGGAGGCAGCAGUAGGGAAUCUUCCGCAAUGGACGAAAGUCUGACGGAGCAACGCCGCGUGAGUGAUGAAGGGUUUCGGCUCGUAAAGCUCUGUUGUUAGGGAAGAAACAGUACCGAACGAACUAGGUCGGUACCUUGACGGUACCUAACCAGAAAGCCACGGCUAACUACGUG
rnacentral:rRNA from 1 species